AGAGUUUGAUCAUGGCUCAGGACGAACGCUGGCGGCGUGCCUAAAACAUGCAAGUCGAACGGGGGCUUCGGCCCUAGUGGCGAACGGCGGAGUAAUACAUAAGCAACGUGCCCUGAAGACCGGGAUAGUCAGUGGAAACGCUGGGUAAUACCGGAUGUGGCCCUUCUUAGGAUCUAGGAAGGAUCAAAUGGUUUUUCGCUUUGGGAGCGGCUUAUGGCCUAUCAGCUAGUUGGCGAGGUAACGGCUCACCAAGGCGACGACGGGUAGCUGGUCUGAGAGGACGAUCAGCCCGAGUGGGACUGAGACACGGCCCACACACCUACGGGUGGCAGCAGUUGGGAAUCUUGCACAAUGGGGGAAACCCUGAUGCAGCGACGCCGCGUGGAGGAUGACGGGUCUAGGCCUGUAAACUCCUUUUAUCGGGAAAGACUUAGGACGGUACCCGAUGAAUAAGGACCGGCUAACUACGUGCCAGCCGCCGCGGUAAUACA
rnacentral:rRNA from 1 species